GUCGAGCGGUAGCACAGAGAGCUUGCUCUCGGGUGACGAGCGGCGGACGGGUGAGUAAUGUCUGGGAAACUGCCUGAUGGAGGGGGAUAACUACUGGAAACGGUAGCUAAUACCGCAUAACGUCGCAAGACCAAAGUGGGGGACCUUCGGGCCUCAUGCCAUCAGAUGUGCCCAGAUGGGAUUAGCUAGUAGGUGGGGUAACGGCUCACCUAGGCGACGAUCCCUAGCUGGUCUGAGAGGAUGACCAGCCACACUGGAACUGAGACACGGUCCAGACUCCUACGGGAGGCAGCAGUGGGGAAUAUUGCACAAUGGGCGCAAGCCUGAUGCAGCCAUGCCGCGUGUGUGAAGAAGGCCUUCGGGUUGUAAAGCACUUUCAGCGGGGAGGAAGGCGAUAAGGUUAAUAACCUUGUCGAUUGACGUUACCCGCAGAAGAAGCACCGGCUAACUCCGUGCCAGCAGCCGCGGUAAUACGGAGGGUGCAAGCGUUAAUCGGAAUUACUGGGCGUAAAGCGCACGCAGGCGGUCUGUCAAGUCGGAUGUGAAAUCCCCGGGCUCAACCUGGGAACUGCAUUCGAAACUGGCAGGCUAGAGUCUUGUAGAGGGGGGUAGAAUUCCAGGUGUAGCGGUGAAAUGCGUAGAGAUCUGGAGGAAUACCGGUGGCGAAGGCGGCCCCCUGGACAAAGACUGACGCUCAGGUGCGAAAGCGUGGGGAGCAAACAGGAUUAGAUACCCUGGUAGUCCACGCCGUAAACGAUGUCGAUUUGGAGGUUGUGCCCUUGAGGCGUGGCUUCCGGAGCUAACGCGUUAAAUCGACCGCCUGGGGGAGUACGGCCGCAAGGUUAAAACUCAAUGAAUUGACGGGGGGCCCGCACAAGCGGUGGAGCAUGUGGGUUUAAUUCGAUGCAACGC
rnacentral:rRNA from 1 species